rnacentral:lncRNA from 1 species
GUGUGUUUUAAAGAAAAGGGUUUCCGUGUGGGAAACGGUUUUGAAAAGAUUUUAUUGGUUUUCAUGACUCUUAGUAUUUCAAAACGAGUUUCCGGAUAGAAAAUAUUUUAAACUAAUAGAUAUGAAUUUAUGAAUAUUUGUGAUGAAAUAAAUAUGGUUGUGAAUGGUGUAUGAUUAUCUGUGGAUGUUCAUAUGUGUGGUUGUAUUUGGUAUAGUAAAAUUGUAUCUUGUACUUGUAGGACGUCGUGCAAAUACAGGGGAGACUCUGUCCGUGUGAACAGUGGACUCCCUAUAUUUAUGACGGAUCUGGCAUACCUUGGGGGUCAAGAUUUAA